GUUGGAUGGGGCUUGGAGCCCCUGAUCCAGUGGGAGGUGUCCCUGCCCAUGGCAGGGGUGGGAAUGGGUGGGCUUUGAGGUCCCUUCCAACCGGAACCAUUCCAUGAUCUCUCAGGCUGGAGUUGUGGCAGUUGUCAGAGUUCGCUGUGGAGAGUCACUCUGCUGGGUCUAGCUGUGCUGCAUCCCCAUGGUCAUCUGUCAAGUACUGCGUUUCCACUGAUCCUCUACCUCUUCCCUCUGGAGCCAGGCUGGAACAGAACUGGAAGAGAGAAGGAUUUCCAAGGGGGAUUGAGGAGCUACUGCUGUUUGCUGUGUGCUGUGGCCUUUCCCUCGUGCUCCUCUCUUGGGCCACUGGCCCCGGUGGAGUGGGGCAGAGCGGGAUGGAUGGAUGCUGGCGCGGAGCCUGGCUGCUGUGCUGCCCCGGAUGGACAUCCCCAAGGGAUCCAAUUGUUGCAAAUGGCCACACGUGAAGAAAAAUACACUGCUUUUAAUGACUUACCUGAGCACAAAGGAAACCUCAUACCUACUGCUGUAUGAAAAAUAUCUCCAAGACAACAGUGCACUGCACAAGAAGCUGCAUUAUAUUCAGUCAUAUCAUCUGAAUGGACUCUUGAUGAUGUGGGUAUCUGGCAGGAUGCUCUCUGGCAGCUGGGGAGGUGCCACUCACCACAGUGACUCCGGAGAAACACAUCCCACAGAGGUUGAACAUGCCAGGGCUAUUCCAGGACAGAGGAGGGCACUCGCCCGCCAGCCUCCUGCCACCACGGUUGGGCAUCUCUGACCAUGGGCCGUCCAAAAGUGCUUCACACGACCAUCUGUCAGGUCAAGAGCAAACCACACCCAGGCAAAGGUUGAAGGAAGCCAGAAAGAAACACACAAUCAGCUCAAGCAUUGAAAUAUGAUAUUUACAUACUAUGUGUUACUUUUUAUGUUUAAAUACAACCACCAAGAGCGGACCUUUAUAAACCCCAACAGAUCUAGACCUGACGGACCUGGGAGCAUUUUAAAGGAUUCUGUGGAUCCAAAUGUGUGGCCUCACUUAAGGACCUGUAGAAUUUACAUGAGCUUCAUCCAUCCAUUUGCUCAGGAGUAUGAGGCUGUUGGGUCUUACUGGGUGUGGAACGGGAAAGGGAAACGUGAUGAUUUGUUGACAAUGGAAACUAUUUGCUGAUAAGAAAAUAUUGUUAUUGAAGGGAUAUUACAUCAGAGCUAAGAAGUUUUCGUGGAGUACAAAGUUAAGCAAAGGAUGAGAAAAAAUAAAUGAAAAGAAAAGAGGAAAAAAUAAAAUAAAGCAGGUGAAAUCAAUGAAAUCAUAGGAUAGUUUGGGUUGGAAGGGACCUCAAAGCCCAUCCAGUUCCACCCUCUGCCAUGGGCAGGGACACCUCCCACUGGAUCAGGGGCUCCAAGGCCCAUCCAACCUGGCCUGGAACCCCUCCAGGGAUGGGGCAGCCACCGCUUCCCUGGACAACCUGGGCCAGGGCCUCACCACUCUCAGGGUGAGGAAAUUCCUCCUUAUAUCUAGCCUAAGUCUGCCCCUCUCCCAUGUGUUCGUGGCCCUGCAAUUUGCACCACAGCAUUCCUGUCAUUGCCCACACCUGGACCCUCAGCAUGCAGGACCACGAACCAGGAAUCUCUCACUCCCUUCACAACGCCGGCUGAGAGUCUGGGUCCUUGCUCCUUGUCCCGGGGUUUUGCCUCACACAGUUACUGGAAUAGAAAGAAGAUGACAAGAAUUGUCCUCUGGUCACCCAGUGCAGCUGUGCUGCUCCAUGAAGCUGGAAUGCAGGGGUGGGAAGGCAGUGCUCCAGCUGCUCCCCCAGCAGCAUCCCCAGCCCUGGGCUCCGGGAGCAGGGCUGCCUCUGGGCUCCGCAUGGAUGGACAGGUAAGCAGAACGAAACUCCACGCUGGGUGAAGUUAGCACGGCUGCAGGCAAUGAAACGAGCCAAUGGCACGAAAAUGGAGGUCCACUUAAAAUCCAAAAUACUUGUAUUUUCAUGCAAGGUAUGGCUGAAAAAAAGGGUUAAAUAUUAUAAUUUGUAUUGCAAAAAUGGAGGUCCACUUAAAAUCUGAAAUACUUGUAUUUUCAUGCGAGGUAUAGCUGAAAAAAAGGGUUAAAUAUUAUAAUUUGUGUUGAAGUGUUAAGCCAUUCAGGAAGGAACAGUUGCGCUGCAUCCUGCAACAAAGUCAGCCGAAGAAAAGGAAAGAGUUUCUGUAAAGGCAGAUUUAGCUUUUGCUCUGGAUGGACCAGGCGAUGCGCUCCGGGCUGUCAGGUUAUGGUUCCACGUGCUGUGCGGUAGGUGGUGGAAUAAAUACCUGAGGCUGAGCGAGAGCUGUGCAGGAAAAGGCAGAAAGGAGCUCGGAGCAGGCUGUUAUCCAGCUGAAUGCUUGGAAUGGGAGAGGGUAUGGAGGGAUGCUGAGGCAGUGUGAUGCUGAGGCUGUUACCUGUGCUCGGAGGUGGUCGCUCCCCCACCAACAGGCUGCGAGACGAAGCGUCGCUCAUUUAACUCUCUUAUUUUUGAUUCUCGGUUCAUCCACUUGGUUCUUCUCAAGGUUUUAAGUUGUAGCUAUUUUGCAACCCUUUCAUUAUCUGUUUUGAAGCACCUAUCGCUGCCUGAAGAAUCACCUGGAAACGUGAAUUAACUGCAACAAUACAAAAGGCAGAAAAAGGGUUUCAUAAUUUUAUUGGAGUGGUUUCAAAAGGAGGUUGCUAGGUACGGUGCCAGUAACUCUGUGGCUGCAGGUCUGCUGCCACUAAAAAUAGUUACAAAAAGCCAUGCCUAACAGUAAAUGUACAUGCAAACAACCCCAUGCUUUAUUAAAAAAAAACCAACAAAAUCUUUUCAUUUGUUAAAAUUAUAGACAAAUCAAAGGAUAUUUUUUACUACUAUUUAAUUAAAGCAGUUACAUAGCCUGAGCCUAAAAUACCAAGGAGCGCUGUCUCUGCAGAUAUCACAGUCAAAGUUCACGAGUAUUUACACAAAAAUCGAACUUAACAAUAUUAAAAUCACGGUACAAGAGGAAAAUAAACAUUUUCAUGUAUAUCCUUGAAAAACACCGUAACCCAUAGCCACAAAAUAAGAAGUGGGUUUAAUUCACAAGCAAUUCAAAGUAUUUGAAAUUAUUGUGCCAGUACAGCCAGGCUCCAGAGAUAAUAUUCAGUAGUGGGUUCUGAUUGAGCGCAAAGCCCCUGAAGUUGGAAACGAUACAGCAAAUGUAGGUAGGUUGAAACGGUCGUAUUCAAGCGGUUCUUACUUUCGG